AUUGAACGCUGGCGGCAGGCCUAACACAUGCAAGUCGAGCGGAUGAAGGGAGCUUGCUCCUGGAUUCAGCGGCGGACGGGUGAGUAAUGCCUAGGAAUCUGCCUGGUAGUGGGGGAUAACGUCCGGACACGGGCGCUAAUACCGCAUACGUGCUGAGGGAGAAAGUGGGGGAUCUUCGGACCUCACGCUAUCAGAUGAGCCUAGGUCGGAUUAGCUAGUUGGUGGGGUAAAGGCCUACCAAGGCGACGAUCCGUAACUGGUCUGAGAGGAUGAUCAGUCACACUGGAACUGAGACACGGUCCAGACUCCUACGGGAGGCAGCAGUGGGGAAUAUUGGACAAAGGGCGAAAGCCUGAUCCAGCCAUGCCGCGUGUGUGAAGAAGGUCUUCGGAUUGUAAAGCACUUUAAGUUGGGAGGAAGGGCAGUAAGUUAAUACCUUGCUGUUUUGACGUUACCAACAGAAUAAGCACCGGCUAACUUCGUG
rnacentral:rRNA from 1 species